AGGUUUGAUCAUGGCUCAGGACUAACGCUGGCGGCGUGCCUAACACAUGCAAGUCGAACGAAGUAGCAAUACUUAGUGGCAGACGGGUGAGUAACACGUAGUCAACCUUCCUUUUAGUGGGGGAUAACUAGCCGAAAGGUUAGCUAAUACCGCAUACGAUCGUCGAGCGGCAUCGCUUGGCGAUGAAAGCAGCAAUGCGC
rnacentral:rRNA from 1 species